rnacentral:misc_RNA from 1 species
GAUGAAGAACGCAGCGAAAUGCGAUAAGUAAUGUGAAUUGCAGAAUUCAGUGAAUCAUCGAAUCUUUGAACGCACAUUGCGCCCGUCAGUAUUCUGGCGGGCAUGCCUGUUCGAGCGUCAUUACGCCCCUCAAGUCCCCUGUGGACUUGGUGUUGGGGAUCGGCGAGGCUGGUUUCCCAGCACAGCCGUCCCUUAAAUUAAUUGGCGGUCUCGCCGUGGCCCUCCUCUGCGCAGUAGUAAAACACUCGCAACAGGAGCCCGGCGCGGUCCACUGCCGUAAAACCCCCCAACUUUUUAUAGUUGACCUCGAAUCAGGUAGGACUACCCGCUGAACUUAAGCAUAUCAAUAAGCGGAGGA